rnacentral:rRNA from 1 species
UAGACCCUACGGGGCGCAGCAGUGGGGAAUAUUGCACAAUGGGGGGAACCCUGAUGCAGCGACGCCGCGUGAGCGAAGAAGUAUUUCGGUAUGUAAAGCUCUAUCAGCAGGAACGAGACAAGACGGUACCUGACUAAGAAGCCCCGGCUAACUACGUGCCAGCAGCCGCGGUAAUACGUAGGGGGCAAGCGUUAUCCGGAAUCACUGGGUGUAAAGGGAGCGUAGACGGCUGUGCAAGCCUGAAGUGAAAGGCGGGGGCCCAACCCCUGGACUGCUUUGGGAACUGUACGGCUGGAGUGCAGGGG